CCUAUUGAGUGUUAUAUCAAAUGGUAGUAGGAGUGGAGUGAAUCUCCACUCCGAGGGCAGACACGAUGAUGUAGGAA
rnacentral:sRNA from 12 species